rnacentral:rRNA from 1 species
AAUGAACGCUGGCGGCGUGGUUAAGACAUGCAAGUCGAACGGUUUUUAUUGAAGGGCAACCGGAUAUAAAAGACAGUGGCGAACGGGUGCGUAACACGUGAACAAUCUACCUCCAAGUGGGGAAUAGCUCGCCGAAAGGCGAAUUAAUACCGCAUGUGGUGCCUUCUCGCAUGAGAGGGUUACUAAAACAGGGACCGCAAGGCCUGUUGCUAGGAGAGGAGUUCGCGGCCUAUCAGCAGUU